ensembl:misc_RNA
UUGAUAGCCCUGGAGACUGAAGUCCUCUCUUUACCCACAGAACAAGUAUACCAUUGUAGCGAGGAUACAGGUUUCGCUACAUUGCUCUGACAGUGUCUUAGUGCUGGUCUGGAGUUAGCACCAAAUGGGUGAAAGGGUAGUUCUUUUUCUAUACCCAUUAAAUCUGCUGAGAUG